CCCUUAGACGUUCUGGGCCACACGCGCGCUACACUGACGAAGGCAACGAGCUACUCUUCACCGAAAGGUGUGGGUAAUCUUUUGAAACUUCGUCGUGCUGGGGAUAGAUCCUUGCAAUUUUUGAUCUUAAACGAGGAAUUCCUAGUAAGCGCAAGUCAUCAACUUGCGUUGAUUACGUCCCUGCCCUUUGUACACACCGCCCGUCGCUACUACCGAUUGAAUGGUUUAGUGAGGCCUUCGGAUCCGCGAUUUUAUUGUGGAGAAGUUGGACAAACUCAGUCAUUUAGAGGAAGUAAAAGUCGUAACA
rnacentral:rRNA from 1 species